rnacentral:lncRNA from 1 species
CUAAGGCCACGAAUAGGGUUUGCUUUUGCCUUAAAUCCACAGAGACAAAGUCCAUGGCAGGUAGCAUCAGUAAUGCAAAUCUCUUUCCCAUAGUUACUUGUUUUUCAAAACAAAACUUUCUCCAUCAGUGAAGCAGUUUAGAACUUCAAGCUACAUGGUUCCCAGCUCUAACUGUCUAAGACAUUAAGUGUCAAGGACCAAGCCCAAGGUCCUAUCAGGGACCAUUAGGACACAGAGAAGUCACUUUUGAGGCAAAGUCUGGUCUUAACACCAAAGUGUACUUAGCAGACAAGAGCCUUCCUGUGAGAUGCUGGGGAACCAAUGCCCAGAGGGGUGGCUGGAAUCAGUCCACUGCUCCAGGAAACUCAACCUUACUACUCACUGUGACCUGCCCUGAUUUUGCCUUUCCUGUUAUUCCAAGGGACCCAAAGCAGUCACUGAAAGCAAUUCCAAAAAAAUGAAGCUCAACAAAAAAUUAAGGCUUAGAAGAAAACCAUUUGAAAAACUAUGCAGACUUUCAAAGAAGAAUUCUGAAUGGGAAAGAAUUUUUUUUUUAGCUGAAUAACCUUGGUCUGUUGGUUUUAAAAAAAACAACAAGCACACUUCAAACACGCCCACCAAUAAUCAGGAGGAUGGUUAGCAUGUAUGAGAAAUUAUUCUUCAUUUAAAACAUCCUUUAAGAUAUGUCAUGAGAAGAAGCUUGACUGGGUCCUUAACCAUACCCACCCUUUAAAAUGAAAAAACAGUAUUUCUACUGAAGCCAAUUUCCUGUUCUUGGAAUUAGCUUUUUGAGUUGUCAGUUAGACAAGAUGAACUGAUUACUUUACCAUAAAACUCGCCUUUGUCAGUAGUGAAGCAGGUAACUCUACCGGGGAAACAUCAGUUCGUUUCAAAAUGUUUCUUGGGAGUGAAUUACUUCAUCUGUGAAAGAGCAAUCCUUUCCCCUCUUCUGGUUUGUUGAGUUAAAUGGUGCUCAACAGACAUACUUCAUUGUCCAAUUAGACAGUAUAAUCUAUUUUAUUUAUUUAUUUUGUAUAGUGUGAAUCUACUAUUUUUCUUUCUUUCCUCCCUUCCUUUCUUUUUUGACUUUUAGGCAUUACCAAUUCAUUGCAAAGCAUUUAUUCUUGGCCCCAUAAAUUACAAAUAUUCUUUGAGAACCUAUACCAAAGUUCAGGGCAUUUUGCAAAAACAUAAUGUCACCAAUAAGGCAGGGAGUUCUCAGGCACAGAGAGAACAUAGAUUUAAAAAGGUCUGUGUGACUUUGGUCAUUCCAAGGGUUUUUCUUAAAGGGACCUUAAGGAAGAGAUUAAAUUAGAGAACACCAAACUUUGAAAGAGGUGAUCAGACUAAUCAGAUGGGGGGGGUCAAAGGACUGGGGAGCCCUCAGCCCCACUGGAUACCAUGUGUUAUCACUCUUCUCCUAACCCAACAGUUAGCUGUGUGGCUUCUCCAUCCCUCUUGAUUUUACCAGGUCAACAUUCUGUUCAACCACAACUGAGAGAUGGGGAGGAAGAAAGGAUAAAAUGGGAAAAAGCUGAAAAUCAACUAAGGAAUUCCUAAACUAACAAUGUACUUUAAUAUUCUAGAAUUUUUUUUUUGUCUUUUGUCUUUUUAGAGCCACACCCAUGGCACAUGCAGGUUCCCAGGCUAGGGGUCAAAUAGGAGCUACAGCUGUUGGCCUAUGCCAUAGCCACAGCAACACCAGAUCUGAGCCAUGUCUUCGACCUACAUCACAGCUCAUGGCAACACCAGAUCGUUCACCUACUGAGAGAGGAUCUGGUGUUACCGUGAGCUGCGGUGUAGGUUGCAGACGCAGCUUGGAUCGGGCGUUGCUGUGGCUGUGGUGUAGGCCGGUGGCUACAUCUCUGGUCCGACCCCUAGCCUGGGCACUUCCAUAUGCGGUGGGUGCGACCCUAAAAAGAAAAAAAGAAAAAAAAAUCACAUUUAUACAACAUUGUAAAUCAACUCUAAUUAGAAAAAAAAAAAAGUAAAAAUUACAUUUACCUUUCCAGGGAAACAAGGGCCACUAUGGCGAAUAUAAAAACUUUGCUAAAGAAGUUGAAAGCAGUUCUGAAAAAGGAAUCAGAUUCGUUUUUGGCCACGGCAGUGUUUUUGACAUACAUUUGGCCUCCCCAGUUGACCACUUUGAAGGGACAAUGUUCAUGUGGGAGCAUCCUUUCUAGGACAUUUGUUAAAAUAAAAUCAGCCUCAUUACCUAAUAAUGUAAAUGACUUUGGGAGGAACCUCUGAGUCUCCCGUUUCAUUCUCCUUACACGACCGUUCAAUUCAAGUGGACUCUGUGGAAAUUCUGAUUUCAUGACCCAUCACUGCCGCGUUAAAAUAUGCCUUCUGAUGUCAUGCUCUGAAAUAAACUAAGUUGUUUGCUGCAACUACCUACACACAAAUGAGAAAAUUAUAUGACAAGGAGUUCAACACAGCCUGAAGCUGGGACACAGGUUAUUACUGAAAGUCGCUGUCGGCAUGGUUUCUGGUUUUGCAGUAAAAGAAGACGACUUGAAAGGAGGCAGUGGUUUUGAUGCUCUUCUGAAAUGAAAACAUUCAGUGAGUGCAUAGCAUUGGGUUGUCAUUAAUGUCAGCCAUGCGAAAACACUGUCUCCACGAAUGCUACAGUCCCUCCCCCGUCCAGACCAUGACUUUCCACUCUCUGGUAUUUUCGGCACUGGGCUGGUACUUCUCUAAAAGAGAAUCUUUGAGCAAUCCAUUCUAGGUACUCAGAUACAAGACUCUUUCAAUGAACAGGUGGCCUGAAUUUGCGAAAGUUAACCAAUAAUUUCCACAAGGGAACGUGUUCUUUUCUGAGAAAUACUGCAAGUGCAUGAUGAAAUCCUCAAACUUUGGAAGGCAGGAAGUAUAAACACUACAUUUAAAGGUACACAGGGUUGGUUCAAAAUAAUGUAGUGCAUAAAAAUAUUAUACCAGAGUAGCUUGACAUUGCUCCCCAUGAACUUCUUGAUAUGUACAGUUGGAACAGUCUUAUUAAUGAGCGCAGAAAACUCUCUGGAAUUCUUGACAUGGAUGUAGCACCUUUUAUGUACCAUGCUUGUUGCCUGACUAUACUGUAAACAAGCAACAUAACACUUCAUCCCAAGGUUAUGAGGAAUGAGGAAUUAAGCACGUUGUGUUGGGUGGAAUUAACACCACACUAAGAAACAGCUGCCAUAUAUUUUUUUUUUUGCUCUAUGCAAUCAAGUUGGGCACAAGCGAGAAGAAAAUAAGGUGGGAGUGUUAGAAAGUGGUAUUCUCUAUCAUAUCAUCAGUGUAUUUUGCUUUUGUUAUUUUCUUUCCCUCAUGCAUUGCCCAUGAAUUAAUUUAAGAAACAAGCAAGGCAUCAGGGAAUAUGUUAAAUAUAAAACAGUAUUUGCUAUAUUCCUUGGUUUCAAAAUUCUAAGAGCGAGGUAAAGGCACAAACUUUGGGUAAGAAAAUAUUUCACAGUUUCCCAGGAUAUCAUACGUGUUGUACUUGCUAAAACGGUAGUAUACUUUUUUAAGUUCACAUUUUUUCAUUGGAAUGGGUUUUAAACAGCCAAGGUGAAUUCUCACAAAGAGACAGACUGGAUGUUGGGGGUGGAGUGGGUGGAACAUAAGGUGAUACUUUUAUGGUAAUUUUUUUAUUUCACUCAUUUUUGAUGCUUUCAAAUUAUAAAUUCAUAUUACAACAUCUCUGUCCAUUCUCUCCCAUCUUCUUUUAUAAUCUACAAAACAAAAAUUUAUAUCUUAUUAUUUGUACUGUGAAAUAGCCACAAAUAGGCCUCCAGGGUUUUGUAAAUUUUGCUUUAUACAAGGUGUCUGCUUUUCUUCCAGCCAACGAAGAAAUCAGAAGGAUAAUAAAACAAAAUAUAAGUGAUAUUUGAAAAUGAAAUGGCCAAAGGACAGAAUAGGUUAUAUCUGAGCUGCUUUUGACCUAGUAAAAUGUAUAGGAGAGGAAUAUCUAAGGCUUGAAAUCUGGAUGAGCAUUUUAUUUUUUCUAUUUAUUUUUUGGCCACUCCUGUGGCAUGCAGAACUCCCCAAGCCAGGGAUCGAACCUGAGUCAUAGCUGUAACCAGAACCACAGUAGUGACAACACCAGAUCCUUAACUCACUGGGCCACAAGGGAACUCCUGGACGAGCAUUUUAAUGUUUGAAAACUCACAACACAUUCAUUUCAAAAAAUGAUAUUUAAAGCCCAAGAAUUUUCUAUGUAUCAAUGGCUUCCUCCUUUAGUGCUCACCAAAAAGACAUUAAAAAUAUUUCUUGUUAUAGACUCAUAUCUGGAAAAUAUCAAUAGAAAUGUCAUCAGUUAUCAAUCCUCCUCAUUUGGACAUUAAGAGAUUAAGGUUAUUGCUAGUGUAUAAUAAGCUUUCUUUGGGAAAAAAAACAGUCUUUUUAAAUGUUGUUAGGACAGUCUGAAAAAGACGUAAAUGGAGGCAUAUUAUCAUGUAAACGGUGGCUCUCAAAAGAGAUGAGGAAGGCAGCUAAAUAAUGUCACUUUAAUUCUGAAAUAAUGACAGUUGAAGCUAUGGGUGGCUGAAUUCACACCUCAAAAUCACACCAAAUACAGGUUUGCAAAAAUAAGUUUUCAGUUGCAUGAAAUCAUCACCAUACUUAGAGAUCAAGAGGAGCCCUCUGCAGAACCGCGCUGGUUCUGAUGCUCUUUCUGCUAAUUUAGUUUGUGUAGAAGAUUCGAUCUGUGGAACCACUUUGCUCUUUAUCACACUAAACCGACACCUUUAGAAGAAGAUAAGACAGCUACGGAUGAAGUUGCAUCUUUUCAUCUUUCGGAUUUCUGCCAGGAGAAGCCUCAGGAUGCCCUAAGUGAUAUCAACUGAGCAAUAACUAGAGCUAGACAAGGAAAAUGCAACACAUUCAUAUACCUGAGGUCCACACACAUUUAUUUUCAGCAUUUGGAAAUUACUGUUAAGAGUGAUUCAGGGCCCUUGCCUGUUAUUUUGAUAAUCUAUCUUUUAAGCAAAAGGAAACUCUACUGAAUAAGAGCUUUACCACUCUGACCUCAAUGUGGACUAAAAUGAUAGCUACUAAGGAAGUAGAAGCCGGUCACUUCCACAAAUGAUUUUGAUGCUCUGGCUCAUUCUGGUCUCUGUGCAGUUUCUACAUCUUGGUCAGCAGAUGUGGCUGACUUCAUUAAAACCUGAGAUUUCUAAGACUGAAGAUAUUAGACAUAGUUUUGGCAUAUGCCAAGUCAUCUCUG